rnacentral:rRNA from 1 species
UACAGAGGGUGCAAGCGUUAUUCGGAAUUACUGGGCGUAAAGCGCAUGUAGGUGGGACAUCAAGUCAGAUGUGAAAUCCCGGGGCUCAACCUCGGAAUUGCAUUUGAAACUGAUGUUCUUGAGUUUGGGAGAGGAAAGUGGAAUUCCUGGUGUAGAGGUGAAAUUCGUAGAUAUCAGGAGGAACAUCGGAGGCGAAGGCGGCUUUCUGGUCCAUAACUGACACUGAGAUGCGAAAGCGUGGGUAGCAAACAGG